rnacentral:rRNA from 1 species
UUUUAUAAAAUUAUUUUUAUUUUUUUUAUGUUUUAGUUUAUUAGAAGAAUGUUUAUUUUUAUUAAUUUUGUUUGAAAAAAUGUUUUUUAUUAUAGUUCAUAGUAUUGUGAAAGAAUUUUUUAAAAAUUUUAAAAGAAGGUUUACUUUGCCGUACCUUGUGUGUCAGGGUUUAUUAAUUUAUUAAUAAAUUUUUAUUUUUCCCGAAUUUAGAAGAGCUAUGAUUUUAUAUAUUUUGCUGUAGAAUAAGCAUUUUUAAUAAAAUUAUUGUAAUGAAAUGUUAGUCGUUUCUAAAUAUAUCUGGUUUUCAAAGAAAUUAAUUCAAUUUAGCUAUUAUUUAGGAUUAUUUUUAUUUUUUAAUAUUUUUCUUUUUAAUAUGUAAUAUUUAAGGGGAUAAGCUCUUAAUUAGAAUGUUAAAAAAUUCUAGUACCAAAUUGAUUUGUAGGAUUAGAAUUUUCCAUCAAUUAUAGGAUGUUUUAAUUAGUCUUUUAUUUAUUUGAUUUUUAUUAUUUUUAACUUUUUUAUUUGAAUUUAAACUUAAAUUUUUUUUGUUUAGUAAUUAUGAUGAAAUUAGUAUAUUUUUUUGUAUUUUUAAUUUUUGUGAUUAAGGUUUAAUUAAGGAACUCGGCAAACUUAAUUUUCACCUGUUUAUUAAAAACAUGUCCUUUUGUUUAUGAUUUAAGGUCAGGCCUGCCCGAUGAUUAUAUUGAAUGGCCGCAGUAUUUUGACUGUGCAAAGGUAGCAUAAUCAUUAGUUUCUUAAUUAGAAGCUGGAAUGAAUGGUUUGAUGAAAAAUUGACUGUCUCAAUUAAAUUGUUUUAGAACUUUAUUUUUAAGUUAAAAAGCUUAAAUUUAGUAAAAAGACGAGAAGACCCUAUAGAGUUUUAUGUUUUAGUAUUAAUUAAUUUUAAGAUUUUUAUUUUUUUUAUUAUUAUUAGCAUUUUGUUGGGGUGAUGAGUAAAUUUAACUAACUUUAUUUUAUUUUUACAUUGAUUAGUGGUUUUAUGAUCCUAUAUUUUAGAUUACAAGAUAAAAUUACCUUAGGGAUAACAGCGUAAUUUUUUCUGAAAGUUCUUAUUGAUGAAGAAGUUUGCGACCUCGAUGUUGGAUUAAAAUUUAUUUUUGGUGUAGCAGCUAAAAUAUUAGGUCUGUUCGACCUUUGAAAUUUUACAUGAUCUGAGUUUAGACCGGCGUGAGCCAGGUUGGUUUCUAUCUUUUAUUAUUUAGAAUAUUUUAGUACGAAAGGACCAAAUAUUUGAAUUAUAUUUUUUAUUUUGAUUAUUAU